rnacentral:lncRNA from 1 species
CAUUUUUAUGCCCCACCUACGAUAGUAGAGGGGCAUUAUGUUUUCUGGUCUGUGCGUCCGUUCGUUCGUUCGUCCGUCCGUCUGUUCGUUCGUUCGUCCGUUCGUUCGUUCGUCCGUCUGUCCCGCUUCAGGUUAAAGUUUUUGGUCAAGGUAGUUUUUGAUGAAGUUGAAGUCCAAUCAACUUGAAACUUAGUACACAUGUUCCUUAUGAUAUGAUCUUUCUAAUUUUAAAGCCAAAUUAAACUUUUGACCCCAAUUUCACGGUCCA